GACGAACGCUGGCGGCGUGCCUAAUACAUGCAAGUAGAACGCUGAAGAGAGGAGCUUGCUCUUCUUGGAUGAGUUGCGAACGGGUGAGUAACGCGUAGGUAACCUGCCUUGUAGCGGGGGAUAACUAUUGGAAACGAUAGCUAAUACCGCAUAACAAUGGAUGACACAUGUCAUUUAUUUGAAAGGGGCAAUUGCUCCACUACAAGAUGGACCUGCGUUGUAUUAGCUAGUAGGUGAGGUAACGGCUCACCUAGGCGACGAUACAUAGCCGACCUGAGAGGGUGAUCGGCCACACUGGGACUGAGACACGGCCCAGACUCCUACGGGAGGCAGCAGUAGGGAAUCUUCGGCAAUGGGGGCAACCCUGACCGAGCAACGCCGCGUGAGUGAAGAAGGUUUUCGGAUCGUAAAGCUCUGUUGUAAGUCAAGAACGAGUGUGAGAGUGGAAAGUUCACACUGUGACGGUAGCUUACCAGAAAGGGACGGCUAACUACGUGCCAGCAGCCGCGGUAAUACGUAGGUCCCGAGCGUUGUCCGGAUUUAUUGGGCGUAAAGCGAGCGCAGGCGGUUUGAUAAGUCUGAAGUUAAAGGGCUGUGGCUCAACCAUAGUUCGCUUUGGAAACUGUCAAACUUGAGUGCAGAAGGGGAGAGUGGAAUUCCAUGUGUAGCGGUGAAAUGCGUAGAUAUAUGGAGGAACACCGGUGGCGAAAGCGGCUCUCUGGUCUGUAACUGACGCUGAGGCUCGAAAGCGUGGGGAGCGAACAGGAUUAGAUACCCUGGUAGUCCACGCCGUAAACGAUGAGUGCUAGGUGUUGGAUCCUUUCCGGGAUUCAGUGCCGCAGCUAACGCAUUAAGCACUCCGCCUGGGGAGUACGACCGCAAGGUUGAAACUCAAAGGAAUUGACGGGGGCCCGCACAAGCGGUGGAGCAUGUGGUUUAAUUCGAAGCAACGCGAAGAACCUUACCAGGUCUUGACAUCCCGAUGCUAUUUCUAGAGAUAGAAAGUUACUUCGGUACAUCGGUGACAGGUGGUGCAUGGUUGUCGUCAGCUCGUGUCGUGAGAUGUUGGGUUAAGUCCCGCAACGAGCGCAACCCCUAUUGUUAGUUGCCAUCAUUCAGUUGGGCACUCUAGCGAGACUGCCGGUAAUAAACCGGAGGAAGGUGGGGAUGACGUCAAAUCAUCAUGCCCCUUAUGGCCUGGGCUACACACGUGCUACAAUGGUUGGUACAACGAGUUGCGAGUCGGUGACGGCAAGCUAAUCUCUUAAAGCCAAUCUCAGUUCGGAUUGUAGGCUGCAACUCGCCUACAUGAAGUCGGAAUCGCUAGUAAUCGCGGAUCAGCACGCCGCGGUGAAUACGUUCCCGGGCCU
rnacentral:rRNA from 1 species